rnacentral:rRNA from 1 species
GACGAACGCUGGCGGCGUGCUUAACACAUGCAAGUCGAACGUGAUUUUUGUGGAAAUUCUUUCGGGAAUGGACAUGAAAUGAAAGUGGCGAACGGGUGAGUAACACGUGAGCAACCUACCUUACACAGGGGGAUAGCCGUUGGAAACGACGAUUAAUACCGCAUGAGACCACAGAAUCGCAUGAUAUAGGGGUCAAAGAUUUAUCGGUGUAAGAAGGGCUCGCGUCUGAUUAGCUAGUUGGAAGGGUAAAGGCCUACCAAGGCGACGAUCAGGAGCCGGUCUGAGAGGAUGAACGGCCACAUUGGAACUGAGACACGGUCCAAACUCCUACGGGAGGCAGCAGUGGGGAAUAUUGCACAAUGGGGGGAACCCUGAUGCAGCGACGCCGCGUGAGCGAAGAAGGUUUUCGAAUCGUAAAGCUCUGUCCUAUGAGAAGAUAAUGACGGUAUCAUAGGAGGAAGCCCCGGCUAAAUACGUG